UACGUAGGUGGCAAGCGUUGUCCGGAAUUAUUGGGCGUAAAGCGUGCGCAGGCGGUUUCUUAAGUCAGAUGUGAAAGCCCCGGGCUUAACCUGGGAACUGCGUUUGAAACUGGGAGACUUGAGUGUGGCAGAGGGGGGUGGAAUUCCACGUGUAGCAGUGAAAUGCGUAGAUAUGUGGAGGAACACCGAUGGCGAAGGCAGCCCCCUGGGUUAACACUGACGCUCGUGCACGAAAGCGUGGGGAGCAAACAGG
rnacentral:rRNA from 1 species